rnacentral:rRNA from 1 species
AUUGAACGCUGGCGGCAUGCCUUACACAUGCAAGUCGAACGGUAACAGGUUAAGCUGACGAGUGGCGAACGGGUGAGUAAUACAUCGGAACGUGCCCAGACGUGGGGGAUAGCUCGGCGAAAGCCGGAGUAAUACCGCAUAAGCUCUGAGGAGGAAAGCGGGGGACCGUAAGGCCUCGCGCGGUUGGAGCGGCCGAUGGCGGAUUAGGUAGUUGGUGGGGUAAAGGCUUACCAAGCCUACGAUCUGUAGCUGGUCUGAGAGGACGACCAGCCACACUGGGACUGAGACACGGCCCAGACUCCUACGGGAGGCAGCAGUGGGGAAUUUUGGACAAUGGGCGCAAGCCUGAUCCAGCAAUGCCGCGUGCAGGAAGAAGGCCUUCGGGUUGUAAACUGCUUUUGUACGGAACGAAACGGUCCGGGUUAAUACCCUGGGCUAAUGACGGUACCGUAAGAAUAAGCACCGGCUAACUACGUGCCAGCAGCCGCCGUAAUAC